rnacentral:rRNA from 1 species
GAGGCGGGGCUAACAUGCAAGUCGAACGAUGAAGCCCUUCGGGGUGGAUUAGUGGCGAACGGGUGAGUAACACGUGGGCAAUCUGCCCUUCACUCUGGGACAAGCCCUGGAAACGGGGUCUAAUACCGGAUAACACUCCUGCCUGCAUGGGUGGGGGUUAAAAGCUCCGGCGGUGAAGGAUGAGCCCGCGGCCUAUCAGCUUGUUGGUGGGGUAAUGGCCUACCAAGGCGACGACGGGUAGCCGGCCUGAGAGGGCGACCGGCCACACUGGGACUGAGACACGGCCCAGACUCCUACGGGAGGCAGCAGUGGGGAAUAUUGCACAAUGGGCGAAAGCCUGAUGCAGCGACGCCGCGUGAGGGAUGACGGCCUUCGGGUUGUAAACCUCUUUCAGCAGGGAAGAAGCGAAAGUGACGGUACCUGCAGAAGAAGCGCCGGCUAACUACGUGCCAGCAGCCGCGGUAAUACGUAGGGCGCAAGCGUUGUCCGGAAUUAUUGGGCGUAAAGAGCUCGUAGGCGGCUUGUCGCGUCGGAUGUGAAAGCCCGGGGCUUAACCCCGGGUCUGCAUUCUAUACGGGCAGGCUAGAGUGUGGUAGGGG